rnacentral:rRNA from 1 species
AGUGAACGCUGGCGGUAGGCCUAACACAUGCAAGUCGAACGGCAGCACAGUAAGAGCUUGCUCUUACGGGUGGCGAGUGGCGGACGGGUGAGGAAUACACCGGAAUCUACUUUUUCGUGGGGGAUAACGCAGGGAAACUUACGCUAAUACCGCAUACGACCUACGGGUGAAAGCAGGGGAUCUUCGGACCUUGCGCGAUUGAAUGAGCCGAUGUCGGAUUAGCUAGUUGGCGGGGUAAAGGCCCACCAAGGCGACGAUCCGUAGCUGGUCUGAGAGGAUGAUCAGACACACUGGAACUGAGACACAGUCCAGACUCCUACGGGAGGCAGCAGUGGGGAAUAUUGGACAAUGGGCGCAAGCCUGAUCCAGCCAUACCGCGUGGGUGAAGAAGGCCUUCGGGUUGUAAAGCCCUUUUGUUGGGAGAGAAAAGCAGCAGGUUAAUACCCCGCUGUUCUGACGGUACCCAAAGAAGAAGCACCGGCUAACUUCGUG